UACGGAGGGUGCAAGCGUUAUCCGGAUUCACUGGGUUUAAAGGGUGCGUAGGUGGGCUGGUAAGUCAGUGGUGAAAUCCCCGAGCUUAACUUGGGAACUGCCAUUGAUACUAUCAGUCUUGAAUACCGUGGAGGUCAGCGGAAUAUGUCAUGUAGCGGUGAAAUGUUUAGAUAUGACAUAGAACACCAAUUGCGAAGGCAGCUGGCUACACGAAUAUUGACACUGAGGCACGAAAGCGUGGGGAUCAAACAGG
rnacentral:rRNA from 1 species